CAAUGCAAAAUAGAAUACACAAGCUAACAAAAGCAUCAACGUCGCUGUGUUCUAACCCUUUAAGCAACAGAUAUUUGAACACAAACUGUACAGCAAAAAAUGUAGACAGCCAUUAUGACAUUAUUUAAAGGCAUGCAUUCGUUACCCUCUGCGGAAAAUGACUAACUGCUGCAGUUUACUGAGCAGUUGUGAGUGUUUCCUUCGUGUACAUCCGUAUGUCUGUAUUAUACCGCCCGCUGGUGGCCAAAGCGCACAAUAUAGGGCUGGAACAGAUCAAUGGCAUUUACAUUCAUUUCAAUGGGGAAAGGUGAUGUGAGAUACAAGUCUUUGGAGUUGCGAUCAUGGUCACGGAACAACGUCAAGGUACCAUUGUAAUAUAAUCUAACAAUUAAGACUUAAGGGGAACUGACAGACUUAGCCCAGACCCUCAUAUAACAAUGUAAUCAAUCAUAUUAUGAGUAACUUAUAAUACAAGUUGUACACACACUGUAUACAAUUGUAGGCAUUUGUAUCGUAUUGCUUUUGUUCCCGAGGGAGUGUGUAUUUAUGAAAACACUGGCUGUUGGUGCCUGUGCGGGCCAACAUUUUUCCACUAGAUUGGACUCAUGAAAGGAGACGAUAUGUGGAACUCUUUACUCCAAACAAUGGCAUUACUUUUUUGCAGCACAUACUGUACACACAUACCCUGGUGGAGCUACACACACACGCGCACACAUGCACACAUACGCACCCACUUCCCCAACUCCAGCGCUUGAAGAUUUACCUGCCAGCUGCUGCCAGUCGCAAGGAAAGAUGGGCUUUGUUGGUUUUGUGAAGCCCACCGACAAGACCCCCCUGGAGACUGCAGGUCUCCUGUAGCACAAGCCUCAGUCUUAUCCACUCGGCUGCACAGGCAAUCUGUUUUCUAUAUUACCAGCCUGUAUCACUGUACUAUGCACUAUAGAACAGCAAUUGAGCAGGAAAUUAAGUUACGGGAUCGGUAUUUGGUGGAGGGGAACAAGCUGGCUCCCUUUCCACAUACAAGGAUCAUUAAAUAUCACACCAGUUUCUGGAUGAAUUUCCUCCUCUCUUUCUCUCUCUCCCCGUCUUUUACCUCUCCUUCUGUAUCUUUUGCUUUUCUACCUCGUCAUUCUCACGCGCUGCCUGUUUUUGCCUUGUCUUCCCGGAUUGGUCGUGUGUACGGAGUGAAACAUCCUAAUGGAAGUUUGAAGAGCCUGAUGUGUUUUACUCAAGCCGCUACCUCCCUUAGACACGGCACUCUGAAAUAAAGUGAAGUCAUGGAGGAAGAACUGAAACUAACAAACGACCAAGUCCUCAUUCGCACCACUACAGCAGGGGCCCAUAAUCAGCCAUGCAGUUGGGUCAUGGGUGAGCUGGAGCCUAUCCCAGCUGCCUUUGGGUGAGAGGCUGGGCAACGCACUGGACUGGAGAAAAUCCACACAAACACAGUGACUCGCUUACCACAUCCUCCACCCUGCUGCAAAACUAACUUGUUUUAAGUGAAACUACAACUGUAAGAAGCACUGAAUGAUUACAUGCACUGCAUGAAAACAGGGCCUGUUAAAAAUACUGACAUUUUUAAAUAGCGCUUGAAUCUCUCUUUUUUCAAUCAACACAACACUGUUUUGUUUUUUUGUUUUGUUUUAAUCAGUACAUUGCGCGAUGCAUUAGUGUACCUGUCAAUGCAAGACUGUGGCUGGCCCCACAGGUGACCUUAGACAUGUGGUCCAAGAUCUCCACAAAGCGAGAGAUGAUCACUUUUCAUCAAAAGUGCUGCCAAUUUGUUCAUAAUCCUUGUGCCUGUU